GACGAACCGUGCGAACGUUAUUCGGAAUCACUGGGCUUAAAGCGCGUGUAGGCGGCCCGGCACGUCCGUCGCUGAAAUCCCCCGGCUCAACCGGGGAAGUGGCGUGGAUACGACCGGGCUGGAGGGGGGUAGGGGGAGCCGGAACUUCCGGUGGAGCGGUGAAAUGCGUUGAGAUCGGAAGGAACGCCCGUGGCGAAAGCGGGCUCCUGGACCCACCUGACGCUGAGACGCGAAAGCCAGGGGAGCGAACGGG
rnacentral:rRNA from 1 species